GACGAACGCUGGCGGCGUGCUUAACACAUGCAAGUCGUACGGUAAGGCCCUUUCUGGGGUACACGAGUGGCGAACGGGGGAGUAAAACGUGAGUAACCUGCCCACAACUUUGGGAUAACGCUAGGAAACUGGGGCUAAUACUGGAUAUGUGCUCCUGCUGCAUGGUGGGGGUUGGAAAGCUCCGGCGGUUGUGGAUGGACUCGCGGCCUAUCAGCUUGUUGGUGGGGUAGUGGCCUACCAAGGCGGCGACGGGUAGCCGGCCUGAGAGGGUGACCGGCCACCUUGGGACUGAGAUGCGGCCCAGACUGCUACGGGAGGACGCAGUGGGGAAUAUUGAACAAUGGGCGCCAGCCUGGUGCAGAAACGCCGCGUGCGGGAUGACGGCCUUCGGGUUGUAAACCGGUUUCAGCAGGGACGAAGCUUGUUGUGACGUUACCUGCAGAAGAAGCACCGGCUAACUACGUG
rnacentral:rRNA from 1 species